UACGUAGGGUGCGAGCGUUAAUCGGAAUUACUGGGCGUAAAGCGUGCGCAGGCGGCGCGUUAAGACAGGUGUGAAAGCCCCGAGCUUAACUUGGGAAUUGCGCUUGUGACUGGCGUGCUGGAGUGUGGCAGAGGGAGGUGGAACUCCACGUGUAGCAGUGAAAUGCGUAGAGAUGUGGAGGAACACCGAUGGCGAAGGCAGCCUCCUGGGCCAGCACUGACGCUCAUGCACGAAAGCGUGGGGAGCAAACAGG
rnacentral:rRNA from 1 species